CUACGGGUUGCUCCAGUGGGGAAUAUUGGACAAUGGGGGAAACCCUGAUCCAGCAAUGCCGCGUGUGUGAAGAAGGCCUGCGGGUUGUAAAGCACUUUCGGUUGGGAGGACUGCUUCUAGCACUAAUAUUGUUGGAAGUUGACGUUACCUCCAGAAGAAGCACCGGCUAACUCCGUGCCAGCAGCCGCGGUAAUACGGAGGGUGCAAGCGUUAAUCGGAAUUACUGGGCGUAAAGCGCGCGUAGGCGGCUAGAUCAGUCGGGUGUGAAAGCCCCGGGCUUAACCUGGGAACUGCAUCCGAUACUGUCUAGCUUGAGUACAGGAGAGGAGAGUGGAAUUCCACAUGUAGCGGUGAAAUGCGUAGAUAUGUGGAGGAACACCAAUGGCGAAGGCAGCUCUCUGGCCUGAUACUGACGCUGGGGUGCGAAAGCGUGGGGAGCAAACAGGAUUAGAUACCCGCGUAGUC
rnacentral:rRNA from 1 species